UGGCACUUCCUUGCAUUCUUUCUUCCUCUUGCAAUUGUUCAUUGUGGUGCAAUAGUCCUUUAGGAUUCAUUAUUGAUGCCUCUCUAAUUUUGCAAUGAUUCAACUUGUUUGAUUUUGGCCUAGCUCGCCAUAUAAAAUAGUUUUGGUCCCGAGUUUGAAUAUUUCAAUUAGUCAAAUUUAAAUGAGAAUAAAUCGAUUAUUGGGUAUGAGUCCUGAUGCGUGUCGUAGCACAUCAAAAUUAAUCCUACUCACUACUAUGUAGAUAGAGUGAGUCAGGAUCGUAUC
rnacentral:lncRNA from 1 species